rnacentral:lncRNA from 1 species
AAAUAUAGUCAAUCAGUUGCUAGAUGUAUUUACUGACCUAAAGAGAAUAACUAAAUUUUAUAUAUCAAUUGCAAAGCCUCCUAUUAGCAUUAAUGUCCUUGUAAGACAAGGCAUGCCAGAAGCGUGGAGGCCAAUUGGUUCCAAAGAUAACAUCCUAAAAAAAAGAAAGAAAAAGAAAAAGAGCAAAUAUUCAAGAUGAUUAGAAAAAGGCCUUAGAAACUCUAGAAGAGUCCUUGAC